rnacentral:ribozyme from 1 species
UGCCCAGCAACUCCUAUCCCUACCUCCUCGUGGUACUGCCCGGGGUACGAGUAACCUUGGGGAAGAUCGGGUAACCAAACCCCGGUGGGAACUUUGGUCGUAUGCUGACAGGGAAGG